AGCGAACGCUGGCGGCAGGCUUAACACAUGCAAGUCGAGCGCCCCGCAAGGGGGAGCGGCAGACGGGAGAGUAACACGUGGGAACGUGCCUUUUGGUUCGGAACAACCCAGGGAAACUUGGGCUAAUACCGGAUAAGCCCUUACGGGGAAAGAUUUAUCGCCAAAAGAUCGGCCCGCGUCUGAUUAGCUAGUUGGUGAGGUAAUGGCUCACCAAGGCUACGAUCAGUAGCUGGUCUGAGAGGAUGAUCAGCCUCACUGGGACUGAGACACGGCCCAGACUCCUACGGGAGGCAGCAGUGGGGAAUAUUGGACAAUGGGCGCAAGCCUGAUCCAGCCAUGCCGCGUGGAUGAUGAAGGCCUUAGGGUUGUAAGUCCUUUUAACGGGGAAGAUAAUGACGGUACCCGUAGAAUAAG
rnacentral:rRNA from 1 species